rnacentral:lncRNA from 1 species
GAAGGCUCCUGCAUGGCAGCGCUGACAGUGACACUGAUGGUGCUGAGCUUCCCACUGGCUUUGGCUGGGGACACCCCAUUUCUUGGAGCAGAUUAAACACGAGUGCUAUUUCUGCAAUGGGACAGAGCGGAUGCGGUUUGUGCAGAGACUCGUCCACACCGGAAGGAGUAUGCGCGCUUCCAUAGGGACGUCAGAAAGUUCCGGGCGGUGGCGGAGCUGGAGCGGAGAAGAGUCCAGGAAUGCAAACAGCCAGAAGAACCUCUUGGGCUGCUUGCGGGGUCUGUUGGACACCUACUGCAGACACAACUACGGGGUUUUUGAGAGCUUCUCCAUGCACAGGCGA